AUUGAACGCUGGCGGCAUGCCUUACACAUGCAAGUCGAACGGUAACGGGCCUUCGGGUGCCGACGAGUGGCGCACGGGUGAGUAAUACAUCGGAACGUGCCCGAUCGUGGGGGAUAACGAGGCGAAAGCUUUGCUAAUACCGCAUACGAUCUACGGAUGAAAGCAGGGGACCGCAAGGCCUUGCGCGGACGGAGCGGCCGAUGGCAGAUUAGGUAGUUGGUGGGAUAAAAGCUUACCAAGCCGACGAUCUGUAGCUGGUCUGAGAGGAUGAUCAGCCACACUGGGACUGAGACACGGCCCAGACUCCUAAGGGAGGCAGCAGUGGGGAAUUUUGGACAAUGGGCGCAAGCCUGAUCCAGCCAUGCCGCGUGCAGGAUGAAGGCCUUCGGGUUGUAAACUGCUUUUGUACGGAACGAAAAGCCUUCUUUUAAUACAGGAGGGUCAUGACGGUACCGUAAGAAUAAGCACCGGCUAACUACGUG
rnacentral:rRNA from 1 species